UCUCCUCCUCCUCCUCCCCUCUCUCAUGCCUCGCCUUCAUGGAAAACGGCCCAUGAAGGUGGUGCAGCCUCACAGUGACACCGGUGUUAAUAUAUUUAAACUACGCCACUUGACUUAGCUUAAAUUGUACGUGACAUGACAACAUAAUUUAAUGAUUAAUCACGUAAUGAAGCGGUUGAUCCAUGCUAACGUUCUUUUUUCAGUUAUCCUCCUCACAUCCUCCAUUUUCUUGCGUCGCGUGCCAUCUAGUGGUGCGUUCAGGUGGUGCUGGGAAAUCACAGUUCAAAUGGGAACCCAGACAGACUGUUUACAGGUCUUAAGGGAGAGAGCUAGCUUACUGAACAUCUGAAUAAAAGUUGUGUAAAGCUUGUUGUGGCUCCAGAGGGAGCCGUCCGCAGACUAAUGCCGGGCAGCAGACGGAGGUGGCAGGCGUUGGUGGUAACCGAGCUCGCCCCUGCACACCACAGCAGAGAGAACAGCCAACGCUCAUUAACCACCCACAAGUUCACUGUAAUGUUCGAGCUCUGAAGAUCCCUGUAAGAUGAAAAUGCAGAGUCUGGCAUGAAAUAUAGGACAAACAGUACUUCCACCAUAGACUGCUACAGUCACCAUGAGGCCUGACUCAGUGCUCUGCUCGACUACUCUCAUAAAAAAUGAUUCAUCAUCAUAAAAACAUCUACGCUAUGUCGAGCAAGCUGCAGAAGCACUACAUUUUGGCUGGAAUACUAUAGUCCAUCCUGUUGGGGCGGGGUGCAGAAGUUUUGUGGCAACAUGUACCUCCAGAUUGCUCAAAGACCUGAGAGUCAGAGGCCAGAGCCCGCGCUCUGCCAUCAAAGCUGCGUCGGAGGCAGCAGAGAGAAGCAGCCAGCGGCGUUGGAUGAAGAGGCAAGACCCCUGCUGGGCCCUGAACAUGACACGGAGGGGGGUGUUUCUGGGACGCCAGAUUUCACUGUUGCCCACUUGAAAACUCGUCUGUGUCAGCCAUCCACCGUCAGUGUAGCGUUCACCAUAAGCAAGAAGACUAAUGCUGUCACGUUGCACUCGAUGCUCUUCUUGAACGACAUCAUGGUGUUCUCUGGGGCCAGCUGAACACGGGGAGGACAGAUGGACACGGAGACUGGAUGAACAGGGGACACAGGAAGAUGGCGACCGACACCACGACAAACACCACCGCCAUGAGGAACUGAGAACCUGAGGACAGCAAAAGUCAAACAAUAAGAAGCAGCCUCGUUGGGUCCCGGCUCUCAUCAGUUUUGCCUCCUCUCUCCUUCUGCUCCCUCACACUUGUUGCUCUCUGGGAGCCCGUGAGCUGAAUGGGAAUGCGGUCGCACAUGAAUGGGUGCGAGCUGAAGAAGGGGUGUAGCCCGCGCAGAGAGGGAGGAUCGCAGAGCUGUUGUUCAAUGCAGGUAGGCUACAGAGUUAAACUUGCAGGGAAGUAAAUCACUUGUGACAGAUAUAUGAAGCGCAUAAGGAUAAAUACAUAUUACUCUCAUCCAGUGAGCCUCAUUAUGAAAACCUUAUAAAAGUGUGUUAUAAGUGGUUAUUUUACGUCAGUUUUACCGUGGAUAAUAGUAGUGUUUUUCAAAAGUUACACAAAACCAGCAAGUCUUUUCAGUUUACCAGUAAGUGAUCACAGUUCCUAAUCCUGACAAGAUAUGUAGAUAAUGCUCUCAAGUGUAUCAGACAGACUACAAUAAACAUCUUGAACCCACUCGGCAGGUCAGGCUGGUUUGGUGUAAACUGGUUUUCUUUGCAGGGAAGAAAAAAGCCCCCCCGAGCCUUUAAGUUGAGAGCUGAGAGCUUGUAAAAUUCUCACCAUCCUUUCUUCUGUCUGACUUAAACUGUCAAAUAAACUGCUUAAAAAACUACAACACAACAUGUCAGAAAAUAAAACAUUUGUCUUGUGAAAAGUUGCUGUGUUUUCCCAGUUGUGUUUUCUAAAAUGCUGGCUCUUGUGAAUUGUUGUUUUUCUUUUGUGG